GCCUGCCUACCACCAAGUCGCUUCAAGCCCAUGGCUGGAGGGCUUAGGCAUCCUAUCGGCGUCCUUAACCUGCUGAGUCUGGGGUUCAGAGCGCCUGGCCUCAUCACCCCCUUUUUUAUUCCCCAUUCCUGCACCGGAUCCCGUUCCGGUUUUUAACCUCGUCUUGUUUUUAUCUCGUCUGGAUUUCCUGGUUUUGGACUCUUGGAUUUCACCCCAGAUUUCCCCAAUGGACUCUCUCGGAUUUGUUUGCCUGGACCACGCCCCCCCCGAGCCCCUAUGCACACUCCUCAUGCUCCCCUGUUCAUCUACCACCCCAGUUCCUCGUCGUCUCCUCCCCACGUCUGUUCACUCCCUUCUGGAUUCUGCUGUCUGCAUAGGGUCCUAAAAAACGCUUCGUGACAGCUGCGGCUCCCCUGCCAGAUCCCUGCCUCUGGAACAUUGAAAUAUGCUGUAUCUUCUGCUUAGCAUUGGUCUGUCCCUCUGGACAUGCGAAGAAACGUUAGUAAUCCAGGAUGCAGAAGAAUAUCCUCAAGACACACCACUUGCAGCGAAGCAAGGUUUUGGAUUGACUCCAGGAGCUGUAAACAGAUGUUGAAAGUGCUGCCCUAUAGCUGUGAUGGCAGAUGUAUACCCUGCUUAAUGUUCAUCGUGAUGCUCAUUGAUGCUAUUAAAAUUGAAUUAGCAUUAAAAUGUUGAACUCCAAAAGACUUUCUAAAGGAAUGAAAAAAACACUAGAAAUUAUUUUGUGCCCGAAGGGCUUGACUAAUAAGUUAAAACUGGAUAGUACUAGCUAUCUGCCAAAAACAGAAAAAAUCUGCAAUCCAUUAAAAAGAUGUAAUGAAUUCGGUUUAAUCUGUACUGUAAUGUGUUCAACCUUUGAGAAAGAUUUGUCCCACUGGAGUACAGGAUUUAGUGACACUGUGUUAAAGAUUUGUACAAGCUCUAGAGGUUAAUGAGAAGCACUGAAUCAAUGCAUGUACUAUAUGUACAGAUUAGUGUCUGUGAUUAUUACUGAACUGCUCCAGUCAUGUCUAUAUGCAAUAUUCAAGAAUAUGGUGCAUGUUCACCCAUUUUGCAUGAGGGAUCCUUUGCUCCUUCAGAUCCUGGCAUCACUCUUCUUCAAUGUGCUUGGUUUACACGUGUGACGGGGUGGUCUGCCUUUUUUUUGUUAUUCGGAGGUCAGAAAACUGUUUUUUUUAAUCCCAUCUUUUAUCAUCUGUACCCGUGUAUGAGACACUCAUGAGGUAUGAAAUAAUGCUUUUCCCAUACAAAUUUCUACUGCUGUCCACAUCUGGGUUUCCCUGUGGUUUUGUUUGUACCAAAGGUACCAAAGAUGGCCACCAGUAACCCUUCAGAGCUCUGAGAUGGUUGAUAUUGCCACAUCAGCAAAAACAACAUUGCAGUUUCAGAUAAAGAUUACCAAACCGCCACACUUAAAAGAUCUGUUAUUUUCUAUGAUGACUCCGUGAUCUUAAAUAUAAAUUGGCUGAAUUGGGCGAAUGGCUGUUUGUUUGUGCUCCCUGCAGUGGACUGGCAUCCCUCCCUUAUGGACUCAUACCUUAGGUUCUGGGUCACAACAACCCUCUGAAGACCAUCCAUCCAGUGAACAUGGAUGCGUGGAAAUCACCGCAAGGCUCUGUCAUAGUUCUGUUCCUGGAUGCUGAGUUAUGUUGCAACCAAAUUCAUUCUAAUAAAUUAGAUCAAUCUGUUGUAACAGAUUAACAGACUGCUUCAAAAUUCUUCCUGUAAACAAAAGAUACAGUAAAGUUUUUGUACAGUACCUCUGCCAUGUUCCUUGUUACAGGAGUUCUGUUAUGAACUAAAUUGUU